rnacentral:rRNA from 1 species
CGGUUAAGUCCGCUAACGAGCGCAACCCUCGCUGUGUGUUACAAGUGUCACACGGAACUGCCGGUCAUAAACCGGAGGAAGGUGGGGAUGACGUCAAGUCAGCAUGGCCUUUAUAUCCUGGGCUACACACACGCUACAAUGGGAAGGGACAAUAGGUUGCGAAGCCGCGAGGCGGAGCCAAUCCAGCAAAACUUCCCUCAGUUCAGAUUGCAGGCUGCAACCCGCCUGCAUGAAGUUGGAGUUGCUAGUAAACGCAGGUCAGCCAUACUGCGUUGAAUACGUUCCCGGGGGCUU